UUUGAUCCUGGCUCAGAACGAACGCUGGCGGCGUGCUUAACACAUGCAAGUCGAACGCGAAAGUUUUCUUCGGAAGAUGAGUAGAGUGGCGCACGGGUGAGUAACGCGUAAAUAAUCUACCCCUGCAUCCGGGAUAACCCACCGAAAGGUGUGCUAAUACCGGGUACGUUCUUUUGAUCGCGAGAUUAAAAGAAGAAAGGUGGCCUCUGAUAUAAGCUACUGUGCGGGGAGGAGUUUGCGUACCAUUAGCUAGUUGGUAGGGUAAUGGCCUACCAAGGCAAUGAUGGUUAGCGGGUCUGAGAGGAUGAUCCGCCACACUGGAACUGGAACACGGACCAGACUCCUACGGGAGGCGGCAGUGAGGAAUAUUGCGCAAUGGGGGCAACCCCUGACGCAACGACGCCGCGUGGAUGAUGAAGGCCUUCGGGUCGUAAAAAUCCUGUCAGAUGGAAAGAAAUGUAUAUGGAUUACUAGUCCUUAUGCUUGACGGCACCAUAAAAUGAAGCACCGGCCCACUUCAUACCAGCAGCCGCGGUAAUACGGACGGGUGCAAGCGUUGUUCGGAAUUAC
rnacentral:rRNA from 1 species